AAGAUUCAAGACGGUAGAGUGGUCAAUAACAGGAAGAGUAAGAAUUAAAAAUGAGUGCCUAUGCAGAUGUCAAGGAUACCUGGUUCUGAUAGUUUGGACGUUUUUUGAUGGAUCAGGAAAUGCCAGGGAGAACAUUCUCAAGUACCCCAAAACGUCUUGUCAGGUAAUUGCGACCUCUUGACAUUUGGGAGUUGAGCUCACCCUCCAACGAACCGCCUACAUUUGCGUCUCAAAGUGGAGGAAGUUGAUUUUCUCUGGCGUAAUGAGCCCCUCCAAUUUUGGCCACCAAUGUCAGAGAAGUUUCGAGGUAGUUUCUCCGGAUAUUGGUUUCAGAUCUCGAGACUAAUCCCUUGGCUUGGAAGCCAAAAAAGCUUCAGGUUACCCGAUGAUCCAUUCAUAAAUCUCGGGAUGGGACUCAGAAUUGUGAGAAACAAAAGAGCAUUGAUUCUCCCAAGAAAAUCAUAUGGACAAUGGAAGGAUCUACUCAAUCCAAUAAUUAACCUGAAACCAAAAGUUCUGGCAUCGAUUUAUCCAACAGCCUCGCUUUUCGAGUGAUUUAAUGACAACGACCAAGAUGAAAAAACAGUCAGUCAAAGGCUAUAUGGAUAUUGCAACGGCAACCUGACAUGAACAAAUAUUUUUGAUUCUAAGGGCCACGAAUCGAGUUCGGCGGGGAUUGAUUACAGAGAGAGAAAAAGAAGCUGCACGAAGAAGCACGGUGUGAGAGAAUCAUGAAUGAAUGCAGUGGAUGAUGAUGGCAUUGAAAGUGGCACCAAUGAUAUUUUUCAAUCAACCUUAACCUGUAAUCAUUCCUGGAGAUGAUCUCCACACAAUCCACUACACACAAUGUUUGGAUUCGAGAUCAGAGGGAUCCUUGAGGAAGAUCGACAAUUGGAGACAACCUGGAUUAUGUGCCUUUACUUACAAAGAUACUCCUCAAAGAGAACUCUAGAUAGGGGGGGGGCACCCCCAAAUAUUUUUUGGAUACGACAUGAAUGCAUCUCAACUCCACCUGACGGGUAUCCCCGUAAUGAGACCUUACAUCUCAUAUUGCUAAUGGUGUCAGCCAAGGAAAAGAAAAAAAUAAAUAUCCA